rnacentral:tRNA from 1 species
GAGAGUUUGGCCGAGUGGUUAAGGCGUCAGAUUUAGGCUUGCGGAGAUUCGCAAGGAUUUCUGAAGAAAAGUCAAGUUCUCUGAUAUCUACGGAUGCGCGGGUUCGAAUCCCGUAGCUCUCA